CCCGGCCCGCGCUCAGCGGAGGCUCCGCCCCGGAAUACGUCAUCUCCAGGCGCGGAUAUGACGGGGCGGCGGCGGCGCCUCUGUCCCGGCAGGGCUCGGCGCUGCUCCGCGGCUCGGGAGGAGCAGUUCCCGUGGCAACGCCGCUCAUGGCGGACCCGUCCCGGCGCCUGGCGGAGGCCGCCCGCCGCCGCCGCCGCCCGCCGGGGGAGGAGCGGCGAGAGCCUCCUGGCGCCGGGCGCUGCCGGACCCGCCACAGGCUGAAGGCGGCCGCGGCACUGGCCCGCGCAGGGAGCGAGGGACCGGCGGCGAACAUGACUUCAGUAGAUAAAGAGUUUGCAGAAGACAGCAACUUUGCACCAAAAGCCAGCACCAGCAAGCUGCCAACAGAUGCAUCUCCUGACUCCAAAUGCCCCAUCUGCCUGGAUAGAUUUGACAAUGUUGCAUAUCUAGAUCGCUGCUUGCACAGAUUCUGCUUCCGCUGUGUCCAGGAGUGGUCAAAAAACAAAGCAGAAUGCCCCCUCUGCAAGCAACCAUUUUUUUCCAUUUUCCAUACAAUUCGUGCUGAAGAUGACUUUAAGGAGUAUGUACUCAGCCCUUUAGAAAACAGCUCUUUUGCCAGCCCUGAUGGCCGGAGGUUUCGUUACCGUACUACCUUAACAAGGGAACGCCGCAAUCGCAGUUCCCCUUCCCGAAGGAUGCUGUCCCCUCCAGAUAACGGGAUGUUGUUUGAAGGGUUGUCAAGCGAGCCGGUGCGUCACAGACACCGAGAGAUUCAUCAGAUGAUGAGGAGGCUGGCCUCAAGGAGGCAGGCUAGCGCAGAGGGCAGAUCUCUGCGGCAGAUUCAGGAGGAGGACAUGAUCAACUUCCGCAGAGCCCUCUACCGUACUGGUGUGCGUAUCCGCGGCAUUCAGGAUGGCGGCCGCUAUCGAGACAUCUCUGCAGAGUUUUUCCGCCGCAACCCUGCCUGCCUCCACCGGUUGGUUCCUUGGUUGAAGCGAGAACUUACAGUCCUGUUUGGUGCCCAUGGAUCUUUGGUUAAUAUUGUACAGCACAUAAUCAUGAGUAACGUGACUAGGUAUGAUCUUGAAAGUCAGGCCUUUGCUGAUGAUUUAAAGCCAUUUUUGCUGAAUCGGACAGAACACUUCCUGCAUGAAUUCAUCAGUUUUGCUCGUUGUCCUUUUAACUUAGAAGCAUACGAUCAACAUGCCAAUUAUGAUUGUCCUGCACCAUCAUAUGAGGAAGGAAGCCAUUCAGACUCAUCAAUUAUUACAAUAUCUCCAGAUGUGGCAUAUUCUCAAGGGCCAGAUAACAGUUCGUCUGUGCCUGGUCUUGGUCAGGCCCCCUGGGAUGAUGAAACUCCAGGGCCUUCCUAUUCCGUUUCAGAAGAGGUUCGUGCAACCAUAGCUUCUCCUCUGGAAUCAUAUGAAAGUUCUGAUGAGGACUCUGCUACAGGGAGUCAAAGAACCAAACUGCAGACUCAGUUACAGGCUAAUGUUGACUCAAAUGACAGUGGCUCUUCCUCAGACAAUUGUGUCAUUGUUGGGUAUGUAAAGCCAUUAGCUGAGAGGACACCAGAAGUGGUUGAACUGUCCUCAGACUCUGAGGAAUCCAUCAGAGAAGAGAAAAGGGAGGAUGUCAAGAAACAGCGUCUAGUCCAGUGUCACAGCUGGAGUGACAGUGAACGAAGCAGGAGCUUCUCACCAUGUUCCCCAACGUAUAAGGAAGAUGCAGGUAGUUGUAGAAGCUGUUUAUCUCCUACAGUUGAGAAGACAGAGUCAAAAGAAGAUGAGAAGAAAAAAUGUGAGGGAAAAGAUCUGCCUCCACGGGACUUGAACUGGAGCCCCUCUCCAGGGAGUGACACAGUGUGUUCCCCUUGGAAUCACAGGAAGGGAAAGUCUAGAAGCCCACAGUCCUGUUCACGGAGCAGUCGAGGCAGUCAUGGCCAUCGGUCUAGGAGGGAGCACCAUAGCAAAAGCCAGCUUAAAAGGAGACGAUCAAGAAGCAGAGAUAGCAGCAAACACAGAAGCAAAAGAAGCAGUAGAAGGUCGAGGGCUCGUGACAGCAGAGCCUCUCUGAAAAGCCAGAGAGGCUCUCUGAGUGGUGAGAGCACUCCAUCCAGAGAAUUAAGCAGACCACGAUCAUGUAGCAAAGGCUACAGUAAAAGGAGAUCAAGAAGUAGAGACAGUGAUCGGUAUUAUGUAAGAGACAGUUAUCAAAGUAGACAUCAAUGGGGUUCUGCUUUCUGUAGUAGAAAGGUGUUUGGGGAUAGCUAUGAAUCCUCCAGUAGGAGGAGGACACGAUCUAAUACUUUUUAUUCGAGGCAAUCUGCUAGUCCAGAAUACAGGAUACGGUCAUUUAUUGAAAGGACAGACCUGCAUAGCCAGAGGGGACUCCAUGAGAGACACUAUUACUGUUAUGAAAGAUGCAGGUCAAGGAGUCGGUCGAGCAACAGGUCAAGGACUCCUUCUGGAGGAACUGACAGAAUGAAAAGCGAAAAGCCUGGUGGAAAAAGGAAGUACAAAACUCGCCACCUGGAGAAUGCAUUCAUGGAGAGCAUAAGUCUAGAAAGAGAAAAUGACCCCAAGAAAACUUCCUCAAAAUUCAGUGACUGCUGCAAAAAUGAAGAUAGCCCGUCAGACAAUCGAGCAAGUAAUGAGACAAAGCGUAAAAAAAGGAAGAAGAAGUUGAGGAGUCCAAGUGUGGAGAUAGUCUUCGAGGGAAAAGCAACGGACACAACGAGGCAUCUUAAAAAAAAAAAGAAAAAGCACAAGAAGAAACACAGGAAACAUCACAUCAGUAACUCAGCACAUUCUUCUCCAGUGGUGAUUACAAUUGAUAGUGACAGUAGCAAGGAGCCAGAAAGUACUGAAUGGGACAGCAGUAUUACUUGGACAGGCACAACUCUGAAAAACGAGGGGGAAAAUGAGUCUCCAUCUUCUUUUCUGAGGACAGGAUGUGAGGAAACUGGAGAAGCAGACAAAAAGUGCAGUAUCCCUACCACAAGGGAAGACUUAGAUGGUGACAUUAGAAAGGCUGAUGUCAAACUUCAAGGAACAGCAGGUGAUCAGAGUGUUAUCACAGCAGAUACCAGCAGUAACACCUCUCACACAGAAACUGUAACCAGCUAUGUUCAGGAAGCACCAGCAGCGCCUUCCAGUCAACUAUCUUCCCCCAGGAUUUCCUUCCCAGAGCAUCCAGAGAGACAACCACUGAUUCUAAGACUACCAAAGAGACUUGUCAACAAAUCCUCUUGGUUUGGUUUCCCAGAAGAAAAAAUGUAGCACACUUUCCACAAAACAUUUCUUGAAAUUGUGAAUUUAACUGCCUUUUUUUUUUUCCCCUUAAGAACUAAAAUAUCUGGUACGAUUUCUCUCUGUUAAAAGAUGUCUGGGAAAUGUGUAAAACCUUUGAAUGUGUAUGCACUUUUGAGUCGAAGAAGAUAGAGAAUUGCUAGUAUGUAACUUUAAAAGUUUUUUUUUUUUUGGAAGACUGUUUAGAAAUUGUAAUUUGAUAAAGCCAUCCACAGUAUUUCAAAGUUUUGCUUAAACCAAAUGACAGAAAAGGAGCCCAAACCAAAAGCCAGAAAAGUAAUUUUAUGGGGAUUGCCCUUCUUAGACAAGGGAAAAAAUGUUUGGUUCAUAAGAAAUUAUCCAGUCUGAAUUCCAGCAUCAUUUCAAUCUCUUUGGUUUAAGCUGAUCUCUGCUGAAAAGUAGUCAGUGAUUUCUACAGAGAUCCUCAGAGGACUUCUAGUAAUUUCAAGGUGAUGUUUCUUUGUGAUGGGUAAUUUCCAGCACUCCUGCUUCAGUUGUCACAGGUGAAAACUCAGCAGGAAUCACACAGAUAAUUAAAUACAGUGGAUCAUCACAAGCUCGUGAUCAAGCUGUCUUCAGGCUUAUUGAUUGCUACAGAGCAGUGGUGGAAAACAAUACUGGUGUACAAUUCAAAGGAAAACAGCCGGCACCACAGCAAAGAUUACCAAAGAACAAAUCGAUGUUACAAAAUACCCUUACCAUGUCCUAUAGUGAAACAGAAUUACAGAAUUGCUGUGAUUUGUGGGCACCUCUGAGAUCGUCUAAAUGAUCCAUCAAAGCACAGUCUAUUGGAGCAGGUUGCCCAGGACCAUGACCUCAGGAAUGAAGUCUUCAGAAUCUCUCGGAGCUCAGCUGCUUGACCACCCUCACCACAAAAGUGAGGGUUUUUUAAAUGUUUAAGUGGUAUUUAUUUUGAUUCAAUUUGCGUUCUUUGCCUCUUCUCUGCUCACUGGAUACCCUUCUUCCUCUGUCUUUGUUACCCCUGUGUGGUUUAUAUACCCAUGUGUACAUGUAUAAUCCUCCCUUCAUACACACCCCCCUCGCCUUCUCCAGACAGAACAAUUGCAGCUCUCUGAGCCUCUCCUGACAGACAAAUUAGCUAAGUUAUUGCACAAGAAUGUAUAUAAUUCUGAAAUUAUAUUAACCCAAAGCACAGAAGAUCCCUGCUCAGCCAAGCUGGCCUUCUGCCUUACCUGAUUGACUUCUCACAUUUGGGAAUUGCUGCUUCUGUGCCUAAACGAGGUGAUGUUUGAAAAGCACUGAUGGACCCCAGCACCUGCAAAAACAUUUUCCCAGGGGACCUUACUUAAUAAUUUCCUGAGCAGCCUGAAUGAAUGUGCUCUCCUUCUGUCCAAAGCUGAUGUUUCAAUGGCACUUUUCCUCCUGUCAACAGAAGUUUUAAACUUGAUCACUUCAGUGGUGCGAAGGGGCACUAGAGUAAGUCAGUCGUGUUGAAGAAUGAGGGGAUAACUUAUCUGGAUAUCAUUGCAGAUUGUUUUGGAUAAAGACCCCUCUGUUUAAAUAAAAUUGUUGCCAUUUCUGAAAUUUGAA